GAGGGAUAAGCACCGGAAACGGUGUCUAAUACCGCAUAGUAUCUUCGGAUUAAAGAAUUUAUUCGCUUUGGGAGCGGCCCGCGUCGGAUUAGGUAGUUGGUGAGGUAAAGGCUCACCAAGCCGACGAUCCGUAGCUGGUCUGAGAGGAUGACCAGCCAGACUGGAACUGAGACACGGUCCAGACUCCUACGGGAGGCAGCAGUGAGGAAUCUUCCACAAUGGGGGCAACCCUGAUGGAGCAACGCCGCGUGCAGGAUGAAGGCCUUCGGGUUGUAAACUGCUUUUAUAAGUGAGGAAUAUGACGGUAACUUAUGAAUAAGGAUCGGCUAACUACGUGC
rnacentral:rRNA from 1 species